GUGUUUAUUAGAUACAGAACCAACACAUCAUUAUUACCAUAUUUUAUGGUGGUGGUGAUGUAAAAUAAGGUGAUUCAUAGUAACCGAACGGAUCGCAUUAUAAUUAUCAUUAUUUGAUGAUUGGCGAUAGAUCAUUCAAGUUUCUGACCUAUCAGCUUUCGACGGUAGUGUAUUGGACUACCGUGGCAGUGACGGGUAACGGGGAAUUAGGGUUCGAUUCCGGAGAGGGAGCCUGAGAAACGGCUACCACAUCUAAGGAAGGCAGCAGGCGCGCAAAUUACCCAAUCCUGACUCAGGGAGGUAGUGACAAGAAAUAACAACACUGGAAAUUUGAUUUCUAGUGAUUGGAAUGAUGGGAAUCCAAACCCCUUUCAGAGUAACAAUUGGAGGGCAAGUCUGGUGCCAGCAGCCGCGGUAAUUCCAGCUCCAAUAGCGUAUAUUAAAGUUGUUGCAGUUAAAAAGCUCGUAGUUGGAUGUCUGUUGGAAGCAAUCAUCAGUCCGCCCUAUUUGAUUAGGGUGUGAAUAUGAUGAAUUCCGGCAUAAUUGUCUCCCUAUUGUUAAUAUUCUGAUUGUUAGAUUCAUUUCUAACAAUAAUACGAUUAUUAAUAAUAAGGGGGAAAUGUUACUUUGAGAAAAUUAGAGUGUUUGAAGCAGGCUUUUGUUGCCUUGAAUACUGCAGCAUGGAAUAACAAUAUAGGAUUUCGGUUCUAUUUUGUUGGUUCUUUUUUUAGGACUGAAAUAAUGAUUAAUAGGGACAGUUGGGGGCAUUCGUAUUUAACUGUCAGAGGUGAAAUUCUUAGAUUUGUUAAAGACGAACUACUGCGAAAGCAUUGCCAAAGACUUU
rnacentral:rRNA from 1 species